rnacentral:lncRNA from 1 species
ACAUAUAUGCAAAUUAAAAAUAGCAACAUUUCAUAUAACAGUAAACAAAUAUCUUUUCACCUUAACAAUUUUAUUUUUAAAAAAAAAAAUUUCAAUGAAAACAAUAAAUUGAACAAUUCAUUUUUUUACUUGAACUUAUAUGCAAAACAAAAAAAUUUGGAAGACGGAGAAACACAAGGUGGCAUAAAAAAAAAGCAAAAUAUAAAACUAAAUGAUGAUGAUGAUGAUGGUGAUUACAAAGUUAAUGUGUUAGCAGCUACAAACAUAGCACAUGCGCCUCUUUUUAGCAGUGAAUGUAGCUUGAGUAAAGAAGAUAAACAAAAUAAACAAAAUGGACAAAAUGGACAAGAGGGAGCACAGAAUAAAAGCUUUAUUAAAGAAAGGCAGAUUAAAAUAAAUGAAUAUAAAAAUAACUGUGAAACUAGGAAUCUUGCAAAUUAUAUACAACGUAGGGAAAAUGAAGAAGCAACGUUAAAAAAGGACAAUCAAGAGGAAGACGGAGUAAAGGGUGAAACAUAUAGUAAUAUAUAUGACAAAAAAGAAGACGAAAAAAAUGAAGGAACAGAUAACUGUUUAAAUACUAAGAAUGUAAAAAAAAAGAAAAAGAAAACCCUCGAAUUAAAAAUUAUAAAAAAAUUGCCUUUAGUAUCAAUAAUAGGUAGACCUAAUGUUGGUAAAUCUACUUUAUUUAAUAGACUAACUCAUAAGUUUCAAGAUGGUAGUAUUGUAUUAGAUCAAAUUGGUACUACUAGAAAUAAUUUUUAUGGAAUGGUUGACUGGGAUGGAUAUAGAUUUGAACUUGUAGACACAGGUGGGUUUGUUUUUGACGAUUAUAAUUUUUCAAAAGAUAUAAGAAAUCAAAUUUUACUAGCCCUUAAAGAGUCUUCUGUAGUUCUGUUCACUGUUGAUGGUAUCAAUGGGGUACAUCCUAUCGAUUUAGACAUAUGUAAAUUUUUACGAAAAUAUAUUAAAAAUAAGAAUAAAGAGGAAAUGGGUAUGGAGGACUACAUCAAGGUGCGUAGUGAAGAGGGGAAAGAAAAUGACUACACACAAUGUUACGAAAACGAAACCGAUGCAAACAAAAAAGAACAACAUAAUACGAAUGUGAAUACCAAAUUAAAAAUAAUUGUUUGUGUGAAUAAAUGUGAAUCAUAUAAAGAUGGUUAUGUUAGGGCACAAGAUUUUUGGCAGUUAGGGUUCGGAACACCAUUUCCUUGUAGUGGUAUACAUGGUAAUGGUUUUGCUGAAAUAUUAGAUGAAUGUAUAAAACAUAUUAAAAAAAUUAACAUAGACGAAUUAGAAGAAAAAGAAAACGAAGAAAAUACAAUUAAUGUCAGUGUGGUUGGUAAACCUAAUACAGGAAAAACAAGUAUUUUAAAUAAUAUUUUAAAUUGUAAUCGUUUUAUUGUUUCUCCAAUAGCAGGAACAACAGUUGAUUCUGUUGAUGUUUUGGUAAAAAUAAAAAAUAAAAAUAGCCUAUUUCGACUUAUUGAUACUGCUGGUAUACAAAAAAUAAAAAGAACGAAACAUAUGACAUUUAAUGAUAAAACAAAAUAUGAUUAUCUAUUAUACAACAGAACAGAGAAAGCUAUAAAAAGAAGUGACGUUUGUAUAUUAGUAAUUGAUUCUUUUAAUGGAAUAAAUUC